AGCAUUGUUUAGGUGAUACGGUCACAGUGUAAGCAGUGUGUAGGUGGCACGGUCACAGUGUAAGCAGUGUAUAGUCGAUACGGUCACAGUAUAAGGCAAUGUUUAUGUGAUACGGUCACAGUAUAAGGCAAUGUUUAUGUGAUACGGUCACAGUAUAAGCAGUGUUUAGGAGAUACGGUCACAGUGUAAGCGGUGUGUAGGUGGCACGGUCACAGUGUAAGCAGUGUGUAGGUGGCAUGAUGACAGUAUAAGCAGUGUUUAGGAGAUACGGUCACAGUGUAAGCAGUGUUUAGGCGGCACGGUCACAGUGUAAGCAGUGUAUAGGCGAUACGGUCACAGUAUAAGGCAAUG